AAGCACAAGAGCGUUCCUGUCUGAAACGAGGAUGAUCAGCCACCUCCUCUAUGAAAGCUGCUCUUUAAUAACCCUCAGCUGCCUCGCUUCAUUAAAAAAGAUCUCUGCCUCUCAAUUUGGUUCGCCUGCUAUCAUGUUGCUGAUUCUGUGAUUGUCAGAUUAAGAAAAAUGGGAAAAUCUAACAGCAGAUAAUGCCACAAAUGAAUGGUAUGCAUACAAUAAUAGAUAAGUACACACCAUGAAUUAAAGAGGAAAUGGAUACAUGUAGCAAAGGAAACAGUGAUCCUUUGAAAAUUGAAGAUAAGAGCUUAAUUACUUAUAUAGAAAACUACAGGAAGAUGUGACCUGAAUUUGAUUGAAGAGAAGUAAACGUCGUGGUCAAAUCCUUGGGUACUAGGCCAACAUUUU